AAACUGCGAUAAGUAGUGUGAAUUGCAUUUAGUGAAUCAUCGAAUCUUUGAACGCACCCUGCACUCACUGGUAUUCCGGUGAGUACGCCUGUUUCAGUAUCAUUGAAAACACACAAUCAAAACAUUUUCUUUGGUUUGAUUGGCUUUGGGUCUAUCAAAAAGUUUGGCUUGUUUCUUACAAGCCAAGCGGCCUGAAAUAUAUUGUCUGGCUAAUUGCAUCGUUGAUGAUCGCUAUUAGACUUUGGCUUUUUUAAAUGAACUGGAGGUUGAUUAACCAGUUUUAGCUUUAGUCAAAUGGUCAUUGUAAAAAAAAUCUCGAUCUUGGCUAGGUGUUUAUAGCCGAAAAUUUUUUUUUGGCUAUAACCGAAACCAAUAUAAUCACAUUUAGUUAUCGAUCUGAAAUCAGGUGGGACUACCCGCUGGACUUAAGC
rnacentral:misc_RNA from 1 species